GACGAACGCUGGCGGCGUGCCUAAUACAUGCAAGUCGAACGCUUCUUUCCUCCCGAGUGCUUGCACUCAAUUGGAAAGAGGAGUGGCGGACGGGUGAGUAACACGUGGGUAACCUACCCAUCAGAGGGGGAUAACACUUUGAAACAGGUGCUAAUACCGCAUAACAGUUUAUGCCGCAUGGCAUAAGAGUGAAAGGCGCUUUCGGGUGUCGUUGAUGGAUGGACCCGCGGUGCAUUAGCUAGUUGGUGAGGUAACGGCUCACCAAGGCCACGAUGCAUAGCCGACCUGAGAGGGUGAUCGGCCACACUGGGACUGAGACACGGCCCAGACUCCUACGGGAGGCAGCAGUAGGGAAUCUUCGGCAAUGGACGAAAGUCUGACCGAGCAACGCCGCGUGAGUGAAGAAGGUUUUCGGAUCGUAAAACGCUGUUGUUAGAGAAGAACAAGGACGUUAGUAACUGAACGUCCCCUGACGGUAUCUAACCAGAAAGCCACGGCUAACUACGU
rnacentral:rRNA from 1 species